UACGUAGGUGGCAAGCGUUGUCCGGAUUUACUGGGCGUAAAGAGCGCGCAGGCGGUCGAUUAAGUCGAGUGGGAAAGCCCCCGGCUCAACUGGGGAGGGUCACUUGAUACUGGUCGACUCGAAGGCAGGAGAGGGAAGUGGAAUUCCCGGUGUAGUGGUGAAAUGCGUAGAUAUCGGGAGGAACACCAGUGGCGAAGGCGACUUCCUGGCCUGUUCUUGACGCUGAGGCGCGAAAGCUAGGGGAGCAAACGGG
rnacentral:rRNA from 1 species